GACGAACGCUAGCGGCAGGCCUAAUACAUGCAAGUCGAACGGAUAUAUGUUUUUCGGAAUAUAUAUUAGUGGCGCACGGGUGAGUAACACGUACAUAACUUGCCCUCAAGCGGGGGAUAGCCUUGGGAAACUGAGAGUAAUACCCCAUAGAAUUAUUGGACGGCAUCGUUUGAUAAUUAAAACUACGGUGUUUGGGGAUAGAUGUGCGUCUGAUUAGCUAGUUGGUGAGGUAACUGCUCACCAAGGCGACGAUCAGUAGGGGGCGUGAGAGCGUGGCCCCCCACACGGGUACUGAGACACGGACCCGACUCCUACGGGAGGCAGCAGUAAGGAAUAUUGGUCAAUGGAGGGAACUCUGAACCAGCCAUGCCGCGUGAAGGAUGACGGCCCUCUGGGUUGUAAACUCUUUUGGAUGGGGCGAAAAACGGGAUUUAUCCUGGACUGACGGUACCAUCAGAAUAAGCACCGGCUAACUCCGUGCCAGCAGCCCGGUAAAAGUCACGUCG
rnacentral:rRNA from 1 species